rnacentral:rRNA from 1 species
UCAUUAUAUAAGUUAUCGUUUAUUUGAUAUUGCCUAUCCUACAUGGAUAACAGUGGUAAUUCUAGAGCUAAUACAUGCUGAAAAUCCCGACUUCGGAAGGGACGUACUUAUUAGAAUCAGAACCAAUGCCCUUCGGGGUUUUCUGGUGACUCAUGAUAAUUCCACAGAUCGCAUGGCCUUGCGCCGGCGAUGGCUCAUUCAAAUUUCUUCCCUAUCAACUUUCGACGGUACGGUCUUGGCCUACCGUGGUUGUAACGGGUGACGGAGGGUUAGGGCUCGACCCCGGAGAAGGAGCCUGAGAAACGGCUACUACAUCCAAGGAAGGCAGCAGGCGCGCAAAUUAUCCAAUCCCGACUCGGGGAGAUAGUGACAAUAAAUACCGAUACAGGGCUCUUUUGGGCCCUGUAAUUGGAAUGAGUACAAUUUAAACCUCUUAACGAGGAACAAUUGGAGGGCAAGUCUGGUGCCAGCAGCCGCGGUAAUUCCAGCUCCAAUAGCGUAUAUUAAAGUUGUUGUGGUUAAAAAGCUCGUAGUCGAACCUCGAGCCUGGCCGGCCGGUCCGCCUCACCGCGUGCACUGGUCUGGCCGGGCUCUUCCCUCUGCGGAACCGCAUGUCCUUCACUGGGCGUGUCGGGGAGGCAGGACUUUUACUUUGAAAAAAUUAGAGUGCUCAAGGCAGGCCAAUGCUCGAAUACAUUAGCAUGGAAUAAUAGAAUAGGACGUUGGUUCUAUUUUGUUGGUUUCUAGGACCGCCGUAAUGAUCAAUAGGGACGGUCGGGGGCAUCAGUAUUCAGCCGUCAGAGGUGAAAUUCUUGGACCGGCUGAAGACUAACUACU